AGGAAGCAGGGUAAAAAGGCUCCCCAGUGCGUUUACCUGCUGGCCAUGGGUCCCUGUGCGGGCAGUAGCUUGGGAAGUGGCCCAGGAGUGCAAGUGGUUCUGGCGGGGGUCAAUAUGGCAACGAGAGGGCAGGGGAACUAACGGCAGCCCAGCAACGGCUGUGAACAGGGCUUUUAAACUGACAUGGCAAGCUGCUUUUUUCCUCAGCUGGUGCGGCUCUGAGGGAAAGGAAGCGGCCAAAGCUGCUGCUAGCCAUCAGCCCUGCUCGGCUUUUAGGCAGGCCAUGUCACCUCAGGGUGCAGCAUUCUCAUUCAAAAUACGGCUUAAGGAAACUUUCUGCCAUCCCUUGAUGUAAAGAUAAUAUGUGACUGCAGAGAUUUAACCUAAUGGGAGUAGACAACAUGUGAAUCUUACUGAUAUUGAACUAUUGGAGCCAAGAUUAAAAUGCUGAAUUACAUUUAAAAUAUCAAUUGCAUGAUUGCUUUCAAAACCAUUUCUCCAAAAUCUACCCACUCAAGUGAAGCCUUGGGAAAUGGGAGGAAAAAAGGAAGAAUCUCACCAUCACUACAUGGGUAUUUCUUCAAGUUUUGACUUUCUUCACUCAUCAAUCACUUAAUGUUUAUUUUCGAGAGUCCUUUGGGAGUUUAUAUUUGUAAUCUGUUGGCAGAUUUUAGUCAGAGAAAGUUAGAAAGAAAACUUGAAGUGGAAUAAAUUUGUCUUGGCUUGUAGUAAAAUUCUUACUAACGUCCUAUUUUUAAAAUAUUUAUUUAAUAUAGUUUAGCUUUAUAGAAAUUCAACUAAUAUACAAAU